UAUACAUUCUUGACACACCUUCCUUGGAUGAAACCUUUAGACUUUAGUUCAUGUUCUUGCAAUUGAUCAACAUGGAUGAAAGACUAUUUUACCCAGCUGUAGCUCUCCUCUAUUUUGUUGUUUUGUCUUGGGAGAGUCGUGGAGACAAACUAAUACUUGGAACUGCUGCAUCACUAAACGUGUUUUGCCUCUUCGUGUUGGCACAGCCCUACUGCCUAAGUCUGGGUGGGAUCCAAGGGGUGGUAAUCUAUGCAUCAAUGGCCUACAUAUCAUAUCGUUUUCUGCCAAGACAGAAGGAAAAGAAAGCAAGGACUGUUGAAAAUAUGAAAGAACAGGACAAGAGCAAGAAAAAUUUGAAGAAAAGAAAAGAAGCCAAGAAGGAAUAAAGAACAAGAAGAAGCCUGGAAGAAAACCCUGCAAGGUUACAUCAACAGACAACAAUAAGAAGAAGUUUUCCAAAAAUCUCAUUAUGAACUUUUUCAUGGGAUGACAUGACAUUGUAAACAAUAUGACAUUAGGAACAUCUGUAUAUGUCUAUAUUUCGGAAUCCAGCGUGUUAAUAACAUCUUCACACAAGAUAUUUCCUUAAAUGUCUUAAUGAUGGAAGCAUCAAACGAGGAAACAACAGAAUGCAUGUUCGUAUUUGUAAGGACGCAGGCAUUAGCAUGGGGGUUCCAGGAAUGCGCUGAUAUUUAUUUAUGCAGCUAAACUGAUAUCAAGAAGAUAUUUGAAACUGCAAUUAGGAUUUCCAGCUGAGAGAUGUAUCUUUUCCCUUCCUGAGAUUUUGUAGCAACCAAAUAAACAUUUCAGAUACCAUUA